UACGUAGGGUGCGAGCGUUGUCCGGAAUUAUUGGGCGUAAAGAGCUCGUAGGCGGUGUGUCACGUCGAUCGUGAAAACUUACAGCUUAACUGUGAGCGUGCGGUCGAUACGGGCAUCACUGGAGUUCGGCAGGGGAGACUGGAAUUCCUGGUGUAGCGGUGAAAUGCGCAGAUAUCAGGAGGAACACCAAUGGCGAAGGCGGCUUGCCAGAACGCGCUCGACGGUGAGGGAUGAAAGCUGGGGGAGCAAACCGG
rnacentral:rRNA from 1 species